rnacentral:lncRNA from 1 species
CGGGUGGGCACGCAAGGGGCGGGGCGUCGGCGGGGCCUCCAGCCGGCAACCCGUUGGCUGCCGUCGCCUGAGGCGCGAGCUUUGAAGCCGGCGAGCGGUGAGGAGGAGGCGCCCUCGCGUGUGGAGAGCGGACUCCGCCUGGACUCCACCGCCCACGGCCGCAUCCCAUCGCCGCACAAGAUCGCCGGAGUCAUAUUAUCGACGUAGUUAAAGCCCACUAGCCUAAAGCCGGGCGGACUGCGGAAUUCUUUGGCUAUUCUUAGGCCUUUUCUCAUCCAGAUAAGAUACUGAAUCAGCUUAUCAAGGGCCAACUUAUUGAAUUGUUAUUGAAUUUGAGAUGAAUCAAUAAAGAGAAAGGAGAGCCAUGAAAUUAGAAAAACUACCCUAAUUAAGUCUUCCCUUCUAAAAGUCAGGAAAACUAGCAUUACUUGAAAAUGAGUACCAAAAAAACUAAGGUCAAAUCCCAUACAAAGUCAUUAUGAAGAAAAAAAGAGAAUAAAACAUAAUUUCUUUAGAAAAUAAAUUAUGACAGAAAGCCAUGGCUUCAAAACAGAUGAAAACUAAAAUAUUUUAAAAUAAGUUAAUAAACAUCUAAAAUGACAUUAGAUAUGAAAAAAUGACGUGUCAGAUUUAGAAAUAUACAGAAAGGAGAUGACAAACUCAGAAAAGAAGUAAAAAUUUUAAAAACAUUUCAGAAAUGAAGAGAGAAAGAAACACGAGCAAAUAAACAGAACUGAUAAUGCAUUAAAAGAAAAGAUGAAAAAAUAUGAGGCUAUAAAAGAGACGUGUGGUACAGGAUAACGGUCACCCAAAGAUGUCCCCAUCCUAAUCUCCAGAACCUGUGCCUGUGUCACCUGACAUGGCAAAGUGACAGCAAAUGUGACUACCUUAUGGAUCUCAAGAGAGAAGCCUGAUCCUGGAUCAUCUGGCUGAGUCCAGCCUAAUUGCAUGGGUCCUUAACAGUGGAGAGUCGACUGCAGUGGUAUGAAGGAAAUGCAGCUAUGGAAGAAACGGUCUGAGAAAUGGUACAUUGCUGGCUUUGUGGAUGGAGGAAAGUGGUCAUGAGCCAAGGGAUGUGUACUACCUCUAGAAGCUGGAAAAGGGAAGAAAACAGAUUUGCCCUAAAGCCUCCAGAAUGAAAUCCAGACCUACUGACACCCUGGUUUUAGCUCAGUGAGACCCAUGGUGGGCUUCUGAAGGCAAAAUUGUAAGAUAAUAAAUGUGUUAAGACACUAAAUUUAUGGUGAUAUGCUACACAGUGGUAGAAAAUUAGUACAAGAUGAAAAAGAUUUAAAAGGAAAUGACAGAUAUACAUAUAUAGGAAACAGGCAAGGAAGACCCUGUACACAUGGGUACACGUGCAUGCGCACACACACACAGAUAUAUUAGUUCCUAAAGAAAUAAAAUCAGCCAGGCGCGGUGGCUCACGCCUGUAAUCCCAGCACUUUGGGAGGCUGAGACAGGUGGAUCACCUGAGGUCAGGAGUUCAAGACCAGCCUCAACAUGGAGAAACCCUGUCUCUACUAAAAACACAAAAUUAGCUGGGCGUGGUGGUGCAGGCCUGUAAUCCCAGCUACUCAGGAGGCUGAGGCAGGAGACUUGCUUGAACCUGGGAGGCGGAGGUUGCAGUGAGCCGAGAUCGUGCCAUUGCACUCCAUCCUGGGCAACAAGAGUGAAACUCCGUCUCAAAAAAAAAAAAAAAAAAAAGAAAAUCAAAAGGAAUAGAUCCAAACAAACAAGAUGUAUAAUUCAGGAAAGGUUUCCUGAAAUAAGCAUAUACUUGAAACGACAUAUUGAAAGAUUAUCUAAACACCUUGGAAAAUGGAGUCCAAAUAUCCAAUACCAAGACAUUCUAGUAAAAUUAUUGGAAGAGAAAGGAAAGAAGGAAGAAGGGGAAAGAAGGAAGAAGGGGAAAGAGGGAAGAAAUAAAAUUUCUUGGGGUUCCUUUCCCCACCAAAAGAAGAUGCACUGACAUUUUGAAAGAAAAUUAGUUUGACAUCAGAUUUUUCAACAGCAAUGCCUUAUGUCAGAACAAAAUGGAGUUACAUAUUCAGGCCAAGUGUGGUGGCGCACACCUGUAAUCCCAGCACUUUGGGAGGCUGAGGCGGGUGAAUCGCUUGAGCCCAGGAGUUCAAGAGCAUCCAGGGCAAUGUGGCAAAACCCCGUCUCUUCAAAAAAUUAGCCAGGCAUGGUGGCAUGCACCUGUAGUUCCAGCUAUUGAGGAGGCUGAGCUGAAAGGAUCGUUUGAGCCCAGGAGGUUGAGGCUGCAGGGAGCUAUGAUCUGCACUCCAGCCUGAGUAACAAAGUGAGACUCUGUCUCAAAAAAAAUAAAAAAAAUAAAAUAAAAUGAAAAAAGAUACUCGAGGAAAGUAAAGAUAAGCCAAAAUAAUUUUCAAGUAUAAAAGCAGCAAAGUGUUACCAAAAUGCAAAGACUCAGGAAAUACAGUUACCAUAAGCUAUUCCUAAGGAAUCUACUAGUGAACAAGUUUCAAACAGUCACAAUGACUGCAGAGACAUUGACGUAAAGACAGAUGGCAAAUAUUAAGUGGGUGGGUAGGUAGAUACAGCUGUAGAUAUGGCCAGCUGUUUGCUGGAGGCAAUUUGGACAAGCUUAUGAGAGCCAAUGAACUUUUCAAGAAUUUUAUGAGUUGGUUAUUAAACAUAGACAUUAUGAACAGUUAAAGUAUAUACAUGUACGUACAUUUAAAUAAAUUAAAAACAGUAAACACUAAAAACACAUCGCUUCAUAAUUAUGUUACUACAUUUUACAAUUAUCUAUGCUUUUGAGGUUAUUUACAUUGAUUGUAUCAAAUGGUGGAGAUAGGGUCAGCUUCUGCACAUCUUUUCCCGAACUCCACAUUUAAUGAUGUCACCUUGAUAGCUCACCAAUGGUGAAAGUAUUUACUCCAUGGAAAGCUGCAAAAUGCUAUGAAUCAGGGCUUUUUCCCCCUUUUUCUGGAGAGUCUCUUGUUAAACAUUUCCUAGCACAUCAAUGGAUUCAAAAAAGAGAAGCUAGUAUGCAACAGAUCCAUGACUUGACAAUGUAGAUACACCACCACUCUGAAGACAUAUGAGGAGGGCACUGGGAGAGCGUAUGAAAAAUGUCUUUUUAGCCUUUCAGUAAUCAUUUUGGGUGAUAGUGAUGUCAUCGUUAUUCUGAGAAUGGAGUGUGUGCAAUGUCAAUUAAAGCAAAUAAAUAAUCAUAUGAUAUAUUUAAUUGUGUUAUCCUCUCUGUUUUGAAAACCAGGAUUUGGCCGUGGAUGGUGGCUCACACUUGUAGUCCCAGCACUUUGGGAGGCUGAGGCAGGUGGAUCACUUGAGGUCAGGAGUUUGAGAUCAGCUGGCCAACAUGGAGAAAACCCCGUGUCUACUAAAAAAUACAAAAAUUAGGCCGGGCACGGUGGCUCACGCCUGUAAUCCCAGCACUUUGGGAGGCCGAGGCGGGCGGAUCACGAGGUCAGGAGAUCGAGACCAUCCUGGCUAACACGGUGAAACCCCGUCUCUACUAAAAAUACAAAAAAAAAAAUUAGUCGGGCGUGGUGGCGGGCGCCUGUAGUCCCAGCUACUCGGGAGGCUGAGGCAGGAGAAUGGCGUGAACCCGGGAGGCGGAGCUUGCAGUGAGCCGAGAUCGCGCCACUGCACUCCAGCCUGGGCGACAGAGCGAGACUCCGUCUCAAAAAAAAAAAAAAAAAAAAAAAAAAUACAAAAAUUAGCCAGGCCUGGUGGUGGGCGCCUGUAAUCCCAGCUACUUGGGAGGCUGAGGCAGGAGAAUCGCUUGAACCUGGGAGGCAGAGGUUGCAGUGAGUCGAGAUCAUGCCACUGCACUCCAGCCUGGGCAACAGGGCUAGACUCUAUCUCAAAAAAAUAAAUAAAAUAAAAUAAUAAAAAUGUUUCCUCAUCAAGUUAAAAUGUAUGAAGUGAAAUAAAUAUUAGACUUACCCUCUUUAGUUUUUGCUAGCUUCUUAUGUUUAAUAUGUAUAUUUUAUAGUAGUUUUCAUGUGACAAAGAUACUGACUUCCCAAAUGUCAAUAACAAAGGAAGUAAUUUUGCAGUCAAUGAAAGCAUUAUUAUUAUUACUAUUAUUAUUUUGAGACAGAAUUUUGCUCUUGGUGCCCAGGCUGGAGUGCAAUGGCGCGAUCUCGGCUCACUGCAACUUCCAUUUCCCAGGUUCAAGCGAUUCUCCUGCCUCAGCCUCCCAAGGAGCUGGGAUUACAGGCACC